UGGGGUAUAGCGCAGUCCGGCCAGCGCGUCCCGGCAUUUAGCCGGGAAAGCUGCAGGUUCGAAUCCUGCUACCCCGGCCA
rnacentral:tRNA from 1 species